rnacentral:rRNA from 1 species
AGUGAACGCUGGCGGCGUGCUUAACACAUGCAAGUCGAACGAGAACGGAUUAUAGCUUGCUAUAAUUGUCAGCUAAGUGGCGCACGGGUGAGUAAUGUAUAGGUAAUAUGCCUCUUACUAAGGGAUAACAAAUGGAAACGUUUGCUAAUACCUUAUACUCCUUAUUAACAGAAGUUAAUAAGGGAAAGAUUUAUUGGUAAGAGAUUAGCCUGUAUUGUAUCAGUUAGUUGGUGGGGUAAUGGCUUACCAAGACUAUGACACAUAACUGGUUUGAGAGGAUGAUCAGUCACACUGGAACUGAGACACGGUCCAGACUCCUACGGGAGGCAGCAGUGGGGAAUAUUGCACAAUGGACGAAAGUCUGAUGCAGCAACGCCGCGUGGAGGAUGACACAUUUCGGUGCGUAAACUCCUUUCAGCAGGGAAUAAGCGCAAGUGAAGGUACCUGCAGAAGAAGCACCGGCUAACU